rnacentral:rRNA from 1 species
AGAGUUUGAUCAUGGCUCAGGACGAACGCUGGCGGCGUGCCUAAUACAUGCAAGUUGAGCGAUGAAGAUUGGUGCUUGCACCAAUUUGAAGAGCAGCGAACGGGUGAGUAACGCGUGGGGAAUCUGCCUUUGAGCGGGGGACAACAUUUGGAAACGAAUGCUAAUACCGCAUAACAACUUUAAACAUAAGUUUUAAGUUUGAAAGGUGCAAUUGCAUCACUCAAAGAUGAUCCCGCGUUGUAUUAGCUAGUUGGUGAGGUAAAGGCUCACCAAGGCGAUGAUACAUAGCCGACCUGAGAGGGUGAUCGGCCACAUUGGGACUGAGACACGGCCCAAACUCCUACGGGAGGCAGCAGUAGGGAAUCUUCGGCAAUGGACGAAAGUCUGACCGAGCAACGCCGCGUGAGUGAAGAAGGUUUUCGGAUCGUAAAACUCUGUUGGUAGAGAAGAACGUUGGUGAGAGUGGAAAGCUCAUCAAGUGACGGUAACUACCCAGAAAGGGACGGCUAACUACGUGCCAGCAGCCGCGGUAAUACGUAGGUCCCGAGCGUUGUCCGGAUUUAUUGGGCGUAAAGCGAGCGCAGGUGGUUUAUUAAGUCUGGUGUAAAAGGCAGUGGCUCAACCAUUGUAUGCAUUGGAAACUGGUAGACUUGAGUGCAGGAGAGGAGAGUGGAAUUCCAUGUGUAGCGGUGAAAUGCGUAGAUAUAUGGAGGAACACCGGUGGCGAAAGCGGCUCUCUGGCCUGUAACUGACACUGANGCUCGAAAGCGUGGGGAGCAAACAGGAUUAGAUACCCUGGUAGUCCACGCCGUAAACGA